rnacentral:rRNA from 1 species
UCGAGCUGGAGGCUCUGGGUCACCUCCCACCCGUGUUUAUUUUACCUUGUUGCUUCGGCGGGCCCGCCUUAACUGGCCGCCGGGGGGCUUACGCCCCCGGGCCCGCGCCCGCCGAAGACACCCUCGAACUCUGUCUGAAGAUUGUAGUCUGAGUGAAAAUAUAAAUUAUUUAAAACUUUCAACAACGGAUCUCUUGGUUCCGGCAUCGAUGAAGAACGCAGCGAAAUGCGAUACGUAAUGUGAAUUGCAAAUUCAGUGAAUCAUCGAGUCUUUGAACGCACAUUGCGCCCCCUGGUAUUCCGGGGGGCAUGCCUGUCCGAGCGUCAUUGCUGCCCUCAAGCACGGCUUGUGUGUUGGGCCCCGUCCUCCGAUCCCGGGGGACGGGCCCGAAAGGCAGCGGCGGCACCGCGUCCGGUCCUCGAGCGUAUGGGGCUUUGUCACCCGCUCUGUAGGCCCGGCCGGCGCUUGCCGAUCAACCCAAAUUUUUAUCCAGGUUGACCUCGGAUCAGGUAGGGAUACCCGCUGAACUUAAGCAUAUC